AUGAAGGUUAUAUGUGUUAGGGUUAUCCCACAUCGGUUGUGGAAGGGGCUGGUGGUCAGUUAUUAAAUGUGAGGGAAAGUCUCAUCCCAUAUGCUAGCUUUUGGGGUUGAGAAGGCCCUUGACCGCCCAACACUGGUAUCAGAGUUGACGGCUCGUAAUUCUGGGUGAGCGACAUCGUAAAAGUCGAGACGUGAAGCUAAUUCUUUUAAUGUGCUAACAGUUUGAAGACCAAGUGUGUGACUGAGGCCAAUAAGGAUCAUCUAGGCCUGGGAUGGAUACGAAUAGGAUCAAGACAUGAGAGGUAGGAUUAAUUCGGAGACACGUGAAAUGCAAUCUGAGGCAUGUAAGGCGCCAGUGGUAAGGCCCACUUGAGCAACUGUUGGGGAAUUGGGCUUACUCCCAUAAGGAAGACGAUUUUCGUUCAAAUGGCAACAGUUGGAACUCACAAGUGAGGGGGAGAUUGUUGAGAAUUCCACUUGUGAGUUUGUCCUACGUUAGAAAAUUUGAGUGGAUGAUUAGUGCUUAUAUAUAUGGUUGGGCAUAAAACUCAAUAGGCUUAAGGUUUUGGGUCAAGUUGGUGUUCGCCUAUGUAUAUCAAGCGUACCCAUGGACUCCUCCGGUGGUAGUAAUUGGUAUCAGAGUCUGGUUCACCGACAUUCUCCCUAGUGUGCCGUGCUAGGGAAGACCCCGAUGAUUGCCUUUUCAGGAGAGAUCCUGAUGUGUGAGGAGGAGAUUGUUGGGUUAUCCCACAUCGGUUGUGGAAGGGGUUGGUGGUCAAUUAUUAAGUGUAAGGGAAAGCCUCACUCCUUGAGAUAGUUUUUGGGAUGGAGAAGAUCCUAGAUCACCCAACACUGGUCACAGAGUUUGGUUCACCAACAUUCUCCUUAGUGUGCCGUGCCGGGGGAGACCCCGUUGGUUGUUUUGCCGAAAAAGAUCCCGAUGUGUGAAGGGAAGAUUGUUGGGUUAUCCCACAUCGGUUGUGGAAGGGGCUGGUGGUCAGUUAUUAAGUGAGGGAAAGUCUUACUUCUUGAGCUAGCUUUUGGGGUUGAGAAGACCCUAGGCCAUCCAACACUGGUAUUAGAGCCUAGUUCACCAACAUUCUCCCUAGUGUGCCGUGCCAAAGGAGACCCCGAUGGUUGCCUUGCCGGGAGAGACCUUGAUGUGUGAGAGAGAUUGUUAGGGUUAUCUCACAUUGGUUGUGGAAGGGGCUGAUAGUUAGUUUUUAAGUGUGAGGGAAAGUCUCACCCUAUGAGCUAGUUUUUGGGGUUGAAAAGGUCCUUGACCGCCCAACAAUAUGCGGCAGUGUCAUUUCAAUAUUUGUGGUCUGGACAGGAGGCUUUUUUUUUUGAGUUAAUUUCAAUCUUGAAACUAUUGGAGCUCUUGAUUUUGGUGGGCACCCAUGCUGUUAUUGUUUCUAUAACAUAUCCAUAUGUUUGUUAGAUAAUGGAGAAUUCUUUUUCUUUUUAAUUUAUUUUUUGCAUGUAGAAGUUCUGAAUGCUAUAUUUUGAUAAAUAAUUUUGUUAGGUUGGUAUCAGUAAAUAGGAUUUCGCUUGUAGGCCCAUAUUAGUUGUCACACAAAUUCUUGGGCAUUAUGUUAUUGAUGACUUAAAUUCGUUGAAGAUAAAUCAUACACUGGCAGCAAAAUAAUUCAUAGCCAUCAAUCUUCUUUUUCUCCGUGUUUGUUUAAUUUAUGGAAUUGUGUGUCUUGACAGAAUUAUUAUCGGAUCUGCAAGCUUAGCAGAAUAUGCUAAGGAUUAUGCAUGGAGUAUUGUUUGACUUUACUUUGCCCUUGGAGUUGAAUAUUCUAUUAAAAAGGAAAAAAAAAAUUGAACUGUAGGUUAUACAUUAUGAGAGGAACAAAUAACGGUCAUACUUACAGCAAUAUGCUCUUUGAAGUAUGGAGAUAAGUGACAAAUAUGAUUCAUUGAUCAUUUUGAAGCAGAAUAAUACGUUAGUUUUAAUGAGAGAUUAUUUUUUAGUAAGAGUGGUUGAAGGACUAGGUUAAUGUGGCCCAAUGAUCAAACAUAUUUGGGAGAUUUUUUGGAUUAUCUGUUGGGGGUUGGAUCAGGACAGGACCUUGGAAUUUGGAUGCCAUUAUGAGUUUUGAUUUGAGGAGGUGGUUUUCUAAUUUGUGAUGCAUAGUUGAAUGACUCAAGGAGAUUCUAGAAGCCUCCACUCUUACUAUCCUACUUUUUAAUUAGGAUAAUCUAACUCGUAAGAAUUCCUACAUAUUUAUACCAUCAUUCCAUUGUGAGGACAUUGAGGAGAACUAUUUUGUUGGGUGUUUCUCUACAAUUACUCAUUAUCCUUGUUGCCAAUACAAGAUGAUAUGUUUAAUGUUAUGGUCAAAUAAUAUGACAUUCUCAACUCAUCCAGCACAACCUCUUAGGGCAACCUCAUAGGCAAGUCAAUUAAUAAUGUAUGUUCUUGGUUAGGUUUGAAUCCUCAUCCAUUACCUAGAGCCCAAGGACUUAAGGUUAUUCUACUUUCUAUUUUAGUCAUAAUAAAUGAAUGAAUUCUAACAUUAUCUCCUGUUUGGGAUUCCAAUAUAUUUAUACCACUAUGUUAAUUCCAAUAUAUUUAUACCACUAUUUUAACCAUUUUUUUAUGUCUCCCCCAUUAUCCUUGUGUCCGGUACAAGAUGAGGACCAUAAAGUGCAUUUACCAAUUAGGUUUAAACAAUUUGACAUUGAUAAGUCAACCGUCAACCACAUCUUUGGGCAACCUCAUUGGCAAGUUUAUUGAUAAAUUAUCUUCUUAGUUAGGUUCAGAUUGUUGCCCAUUACCUUUGGGGGGCAAUGGUCCUUAGAGUUGGAAGUGGGGGAAGGGGGGGGGGGCAUCCUUUGAAAGAGAGAGAGAGAGAGAGGUUAUGAUGAGGUACAAUGAACAUGGAGAGGAUACUUCAAUUUGUUGGUGGUUGAUUGAUAGUAAUAAAUAAUUAACAGUUUUGGAAAAUAAUAUUAUAAUAAAAAUAUAAAAUGCUUCCCCCCCGCAAGGGGGGGGGGGGGGGGAGGGGGGAAUAAGAUUGGGUUUCACUUUGGAAAAAUGAUAUAAUAAAAAUUUUCCCCAAAAAGGAUUGGGUUUAAGAAAUUGGACUUAAAUUUGUUUUUUGUUCAACUUUCCUCAUUCUUCUCUUGAGUGCAAUGUUUUUUAUUUUUUAGCAUAUUUUGUUUUGUUUGUUGUUGCUCCAAGCUAGAAUUCAACACUUGUGUGUUUUCCCCCCUUAAAUUUUAUAUCGUGGAUGCACUUUUCAAUGUCCCUUAGUUACAAAACAUUAGAUUGAUCACAUUUUUCCAUUUCUUUUAAUCCUAUUUAUAUUUAAAUUUUUAUAGGCAAAUGCAAUUUAUUUUAGUACUUUGUCUGUCUUUAUUGUUGUGGGUUUUUUUUUUUUUUUUGGAUUUUAAAUAUGAUGGCUGCAAAAUGUUGGGAAAAAAAAUUACAAUAGAAAAAUGAGGAUUUCAUGUAUGCUUUAGGCUAUUUAGUAUAUACCUUAUAAUUUGAUUUAUCUUUUCAUAUCAAAUUUUAAAAUUACAUUUUCUAAUAUUAAAUUUCUCAUGCCCCACUCCAAAGAACAACCUAACUCAUCAAAUUUAAACGUAUGGGGUAAAACAAUCAGACUAUGGAUGAUGUAGAUUUUUUUUAAUUGAAUCUAGACUUGAUCCCUGCUUGCAAAUCCUGUCUCUGCCAAAUUUACCUUAUAAUUAAAGUUCUAUUUUUACCAUAACAAAUUAAUAUUAUAUUUUUUUACAAAUUUUAUGCCUCAGCUCCACAUAGCAGUAACUCAUCAAAUUUUGAACUGAAUGUGGGGAAAAAGUAUGAGACUAUGUCAGAAUGUGGGGAAAAAGGCAUUUGACAAUUGAUGUUAUAAAAUUUUUAUUCAUUAGGAGUUCAAUACAUACUCAAGAGUCACAAAACAUUCAUACUAACAUACCUGAUAACAAAAUAAACUAAUCUCUUCCGAGUUUUGCUAGAAGGAUGGGAACCUCCCUUGAUGCAUUAAAAUUUACACCAGCCACCCUUUGUUGAUGAUGUUUAACAAACAGAAUUAGCUUAGAUAUUUUUAAAAAAAUUUCUAUACUGUAAAUAAAAUAGAGUUUUAGUAGCAUCGUCUUUAAGUUAAAACAUUUUGGAUGGAAUAAUGAUAUUGGUUAAAUUAGCUUAGCUUGAUUAAAACAAUGUCAUUUAAUUAAGUCAAUACCGUGUUUCCAUUAUUAGGGGAUGCUUAGAGCUCUGUGUGUGUGUGUGUGUGAGAGAGAGAGAGAGAGAGAGAGAGAAAGAGGUAAUUAUUAGUUGCAAACAGGUCUGUCUAAAGAGUUUCUCCCCAGUUGCAACCAAAUUUAUUCAACUAGAGAACUGGUAAAUAAACCCCGCCUAUGCUUACUUCCCUCAAUUGCAGCAAGAUCUGCAUGAAACAUUAGCUUCCAUUGGAGGUGUGUUGUGGUAGUGGAUGAUGACAUGAAGUAAGGGGCAAAGAAGAUGGUGAUGGUGCAAGGUUGUGUUAUGCUAGCAAGGAAGAAGAAGGGCAUAAGCGGGUUAACUUUAUGGACUUUCCUGUUUGGUGUGAAUGCUGGCCGCUGGAGAAGGAAUAGAAAGGAAGAAAGAAUUUUGGCAGAUUGGGAUUGAGAAAGAGAACAAAAUAAAAGAUUAUUGUAAAUUUUAAGAAGGCUAAAACUGCUAUGCUGGGGAAAAAAAGAAUAUGAAAGAAGAAAUCUGACAGAUGGAGGAAAGAAGAUGACUAACUCAUGGAGGGUGUCACCAGAGCUAAAUGUUAAGCAGGGGAUGUAAUUGGUUUGUUUCAGUUCGGUUUUAGACAAAACCAAAUUAACCUAUCUUAAAAAUUUAGAAUUGAUCCCAAAAUGAUAACUGAUAAAUUGUUUGGAGAAAAGACUCAGUUUACUUAUUCUGUUUGGUUAAUGAACUUUUGUCCAUUGUACUAUUGGAGUAUUUCAAAAGUUCUAUAUUCUACGACCAAAUCUCACAGCCAAAACAAAAGAUUUAGGGUUUUGCUCGUAACAAGUAACACCUGAUUUAAUUGGGCCACCCGUAACCAAGACAGGGAGAGACACUUCCCGGCUUCGCACCACACAGCCCAAGAACUUGUGAAUGUUCUGGUUGUUUCCAUCAUGAUAGCAAAAUUACUGACAUAGUUUCUUUAAAUGUAAUCUUGUACAUUAUCUUCUAUCUCCUCCCCAUUCUUUAUUUAGCUAUAUCUUUGCGUCUUGGGCUUGUAUCGUUCAUAUAGUACCUUAAAAUGUAUAAAUCAUCUUUGUCACCCAAGGCCUCAAUGGUAUAAGACAACACUACAUUUACGAAAAAAGAAAAACAGCUGGGAACAGAAUUUUAUCUUAUUUUUAUUUUUAUUUUUAUAGUGUGUUAAUGCCCCUGUGGCAUGGCAACCCUUUUUUUAAGUUUACUGCUUUGUUGUGUUUCAUUUUAAUUGUUCAUGGACGGCACUAUAUAUAUGUGCUCUGGUUUUAGCCUUUUCCCUUCAGUAAAUAUGGGAUGCUACAUGGCAGCAGAAGUGCAAUAAUCUAAUAAUGGAGUGUGAAUAGCACUAUCCUUCUUCAUCAAAUUUCUGAAAUAUCUAUUGACAAAUUUAGACUCAAUGAUCUGUUGAAUGUGGAGGCUGAAGGGCAAUACACUUGGACACCACUUGUUUGUACUGAGUAGCUUCUGAAUGGAGGUUUGUCUCUUUAACAUCUAAAAUUCAGUAAAACAGCCUUGUUUGGUAAACCUCUUAAUUGGUAUUGAUUUACCUCUAAGCCUCUGAUUGAGCCAAAGAUCUUCUAAUUGAUAAUUCGUUAAAAUAUACAUGUAGAAUCUCCAUUGGACUUAUUUGCCCAUUAAAAAAUAAAAUUCCAAAAUUGCUCCAUAUCUUUUGCGAUUGCUACAGAUCCCAAAUCCCAUCUAACACACAUAUUUGAAGGUUAGUUACCAAAAACCAAAUAAUUCAUUAUUUAAAUUCAGAUACCAAUAUAGUUAUAUUCAAGCACCCCCUUAAUCAUCAUUUCUUGAAGCCCUGUUUAUAACUUUUGACUUUAUGAUGUGUGACCUAGCUUGAGUUCCCCAUGAUCACUGUAGCUUUAUGGGCAAAAAAAUACUAGUAAAUUUAUAUGUUCCAAAUCCUAACCAGGAUUAGGUAUAGGAUCAAACUUCAUCCAAGUAACAGCUCAUCCAGAGGAAUCUCUCACAGAACAUCUUUCAUCAAUGUCAAAUUUGCAACCCUUACUCCACAUUUACGAAAUUAUAAAUAAGCUGGAAUUAUUUUCAGAGGUUGACAAUUGCUCUCCCAAACAUGACUACGGUUGCCAACAUGCAUUAUUAUGGAGCUGAAUAAUGGCAGGAUGAUGCUGAUCUCAAUGACUUGUGGAGGAGGAAGGAGAUGGGCAGCCAUGGCUGGCAGCUACAACGGUGCCUUGUGGUAACUACAACCAGUAGUUUAGUUCGCGCAUGAAUGAGCAUAAGAGGUGCUCUGAAGGCUGGCUUCUUGAAGAUUCGCAGGUCUCUUCUAAGGGCUAUAAUGGUAAGGUUUACUGUUCUGAUACCAAGUUGAUAUAGAAGAAUAAAGAGAGGAGAAGAGAAAGAGAUGACAAUGAUACUACAUCGGUGCAUCCUUAAAAAUAGAGCAGAAAUAGAGCAGCCCUAAAUUCAGUUUAGUUCCAAAUUCAAGUCUAAGUAAAAUCUGUUACAUUUAGAUAUUUAUUGAACUCAUGUACUUGUAGUUCAAGCAGAAACCUUAUGGCGUGUUUGGUAUCGUUUCUGUUUUCUGUUUUUUUAUUUUGAAAAGAAGUAUUUUACUUUAUUGUAAGCCUAGGCCUCCUAUGUACUAGUUCUAUUCAGAGUUGAGUUGCAAUUAUUUUUUGUUGGACACUAGCCCAAUGCCACUCGAUUU